UGCGCGUCUGCAGCCCCGGUCCCUGGGUCCGGGUGGCUCUCUGGGGUUCCUGUGCGUUCCUGGCCCCCCAGUCACCAUCCGCGAGCCUGUGCCCCCCACCCAGGCUCGGGUGCGCUCCCCUGUCACCUCGGCCACGUACAUUUCACUUCCUCCCGGCUGUCGAGAUUGCAGCAAAACCGGGCAGCACGAGGGCCAAAAAGUGGAGAGGAGAGCGCCUUUCGUGUCGCGCAGCCAGCUUGCCAACUCUCCCUCCCCAAAGCCGACCCUCGCAAUCCCAACUGCAACUUUUUCCCUUCCGUCUCGGUUUCCCCUUGGCUGCGGCGAGCGGGCGCGGGGCCGGGAAGCUUGGAGCGGGCGG
rnacentral:lncRNA from 1 species